GGGUUGUGAGGUUAAGCGACUAAGCGUACACGGUGGAUGCCCUGGCAGUCAGAGGCGAUGAAGGGCGUGCUAAUCUGCGAUAAGCGCCGGUAAGGUGAUAUGAACCGUUAUAACCGGCGAUACCCGAAUGGGGAAACCCAGUGUGCUUCGACACAAUAUCAUUAACUGAAUCCAUAGGU
rnacentral:rRNA from 1 species